UAAAAGGCCGCACAGACUCGGAGCUCAGCUUUGUUCUUCAUCCUGGUAGCCACCCACCAGGUUGUUCUUUUUUUUGGCUGUGCAAACCUUUUAAAUUUUUUACCAACUUUUAAAACCUGUUAAAAAAGAAGAUUAAUUUUGGCUCAUUUUCCAAUUUCUUUUUCUUAAAAAAAAUUAAGUCUUGGAUCAUGACGAGCUCCAAAGAGGCCGUGCAGUCAGCAGCCAAAGAGUUUCUGCAGUUUAUGGACAAAGGAGUGUCUCCAUAUCACGGUAAAG